rnacentral:rRNA from 1 species
GACGAACGCUGACGGCGUGCUUAACACAUGCAAGUCGAACGAUGAAGAAGAGAAACGCGAACUUCGGUUCAAAUUUCACUUCGGAUUAGUGGCAGACGGGUGAGUAACGCGUGAGCAACCUACCUCUUACAAAGGGAUAGCCUCGGGAAACCGUGAUUAAUACCAUAUGACACAUUCAUAAGGCAUCUUAAGAAUGUUAAAGCUACGGCGGUAAGAGAUGGGCUCGCGUCCCAUUAGCUAGUUGGUGAGGUAACGGCCCACCAAGGCGACGAUGGGUAACCGGCCUGAGAGGGUGAACGGUCACAUUGGAACUGGGCCACGGUCCAAACUCCUACGGGAGGCAGCAGUGGGGAAUAUUGCACAAUGGAGGGAACUCUGAUGCAGCGACGCCGCGUGAGCGAUGAAGGAAUUCGUGUCGUAAAGCUCUGUUCUAUGGGAAGAAAAGGACUGUACCAUAGGAGAAAGCCCCGGCUAAAUACGUG